rnacentral:lncRNA from 1 species
ACAGGUUCAGAUAGCAAAAAUAGGGGUGCAGACAGCAAGAAAAAAGCAAGAAAUGUGCAGAAAAAUAAGCCCAAACCCAAAGCCCAAAGCCAAAACGCAGGGAAGUACAGAGACCACACGAUUGAUCCAGGGUCCUGAAACCCUAGAUCAAACGGCCAGGAACAAAGGGGAUUGGACCGGUCCUGGACCGGUCCGGUUCACUGGCUAUAUAAACACAAGGGGACCGGUUUUUUCAUUCUCUUCCUCUCCUUCUCUCUCUUCUCUCAUCCUAGUGAGAGAAGCUCCCACUUCUCUCUUCCCUCUCUCGCCGGAAACCUCAAGGAGGAAGAUGAGUCUUCAUCUUCUCCGGUGAAGCUUGUUCUUCCGGCGCGGUGGCCGGCCACCCCAGGGUGGCGGCGCCGCCGCCGGAGUUGAACAAACUCCUCCGUUUUCAAAAAUUUUCACAUUUUUAGAUAUCCUUUUUGGUCACAAACACGAAUCCGGCACUGGUUUUCUCACACGAGGUCCAAAUCUCUGUAGAUCUACACUUUUGUUCGCGGUUUUGAAAAGAUUUUUCUUGAUUCUUUUUAGUGUUUUAUUGAAUGAAAGUUGCAAAUCUGUGUUUGAUUCGUGUUUGUUACCGUUUCUGAGAAAGAAAGAUGAGUUUCACGUGUUUACCUGUGAUUUUUGACUGGAGAUUUUGAACAAGAUCUUCGGAAAACUUGGUUGUUGG